AUUGAACGCUGGCGGCAGGCCUAACACAUGCAAGUCGAACGAGUGGCGGACGGGUGAGUAAUGUCUGGGACACUGCCUGAUGGAGGGGGAUAACUACUGGAAACGGUCGCUUAUCACGCAUACCAUCAGAUGUGCCCAGAUGGGAUUAGCUUGUUGGUGGGGUAACGGCUCACCAAGGCGCAGAUCCCUAGCUGGUCUGAGAGGAUGACCAGCCACACUGGAACUGAGACACGGUACAGACUCCUACGGGAGGCAGCAGUGGGGAAUAUUGCACAAUGGGCGAAAGCCUGAUGCAGCCAUGCCGCGUGUAUGAAGAAGGCCUUCGGGUUGUAAAGCACUUUCAGCGGGGAGGCGUUACCCGCAGAAGAAGCACCGGCUAACUCCGUGCCAGCAGCCGCGGUAAUUC
rnacentral:rRNA from 1 species